UUAUUUAUAAAAACCCCACAAUUCUAGUAAUUCCCCCAGGAGCAAGCAAUUAUUGCGACAGUGGCGAGGAAAAACUCCCUUUUAGGAAGAAACCUCAGACAGACCCAGGCUCUUGAUAAGUGGUGUCUGAUGGUGCCAGUUGGGGGUGUGAUGACCAGUGAC